UGCGUAGGUGGUUUCUUAAGUCAGAGGUGAAAGGCUACGGCUCAACCGUAGUAAGCCUUUGAAACUGGGAAACUUGAGUGCAGGAGAGGAGAGUGGAAUUCCUAGUGUAGCGGUGAAAUGCGUAGAUAUUAGGAGGAACACCAGUUGCGAAGGCGGCUCUCUGGACUGUAACUGACACUGAGGAGCGAAAGCGUGGGGAGCGAACA
rnacentral:rRNA from 1 species